UACGAAGGGGGCUAGCGUUGCUCGGAAUCACUGGGCGUAAAGGGUGCGUAGGCGGCGCGGUAAGUCGGGUGUGAAAUCUUGGAGCUUAACUCCGAAACUGCAUUCGAUACUGCCGUGCUUGAGGACUGGAGAGGAGACUGGAAUUUACGGUGUAGCGGUGAAAUGCGUAGAUAUCGUAAGGAAGACCAGUGGCGAAGGCGGGUCUCUGGACAGUUCCUGACGCUGAGGCACGAAGGCCAGGGGAGCAAACGGG
rnacentral:rRNA from 1 species